CCUGAUCCAGCAACGCCGCGUGAGGGAUGACGGCCUUCGGGUUGUAAACCUCUUUCAUCACAGACGAAGCGCCUUUAGGGGUGGUGACGGUAUGUGGAGAAGAAGCACCGGCCAACUACGUGCCAGCAGCCGCGGUAAUACGUAGGGUGCGAGCGUUGUCCGGAAUUAUUGGGCGUAAAGGGCUCGUAGGCGGUUUGUCGCGUCGGGAGUGAAAACACUGGGCUUAACCGAGUGCUUGCUUUCGAUACGGGCAGACUAGAGGUAUUCAGGGGAGAACGGAAUUCCUGGUGUAGCGGUGAAAUGCGCAGAUAUCAGGAGGAACACCGGUGGCGAAGGCGGUUCUCUGGGAAUAUCCUGACGCUGAGGAGCGAAAGUGUGGGGAGCGAACAGGAUUAGAUACCCUGGUAGUCCACACCGUAAACGUUGGGCGCUAGGUGUGGGGCCUAUUCCAUGGGUUCCGUGCCGCAGCUAACGCAUUAAGCGCCCCGCCUGGGGAGUACGGCCGCAAGGCUAAAACUCAAAGGAAUUGACGGGGGCCCGCACAAGCGGCGGAGCAUGCGGAUUAAUUCGAUGCAACGCGAAGAACCUUACCUGGGUUUGACAUAUGCCGGAAAGCCUUAGAGAUAAGGCCCC
rnacentral:rRNA from 1 species